rnacentral:rRNA from 1 species
UACAGAGGUCUCAAGCGUUGUUCGGAUUCAUUGGGCGUAAAGGGCGCGUAGGCGGCGGGGUAAGUCGGGUGUGAAAUCUCAGGGCUCAACCCUGAAACUGCACUCGAUACUGCUCUGCUUGAGGACUGGAGAGGAGACUGGAAUUCACGGUGUAGCAGUGAAAUGCGUAGAUAUCGUGAGGAAGACCAGUGGCGAAGGCGGGUCUCUGGACAGUUCCUGACGCUGAGGGCGCGAAGGCCAGGGGAGCCAAACGGG